rnacentral:miRNA from 1 species
AAAAGCUAGGGGGGGGGGAUGCGAAGGCGAGAGAAAGAGAGCGAGGAAAAAUGGAAGGGGCGAGAAAGAAAUAGCUAUUUAUUUCUCGCCCCUCCCAUUUUUCCUUGCUCUCUUUCUCUCGCCUUCGCAUCCCCCCCCCCUAGCUUC